rnacentral:rRNA from 1 species
GACGAACGCUGGCGGCGUGCUUAACACAUGCAAGUCGAACGGAAAGGCCCUGCUUUUGUGGGGUGCUCGAGUGGCGAACGGGUGAGUAACACGUGGGUAACCUGCCCUUGACUUUGGGAUAACUUCAGGAAACUGGGGCUAAUACCGGAUAGGAGCUCCUGCUGCAUGGUGGGGGUUGGAAAGUUUCGGCGGUUGGGGAUGGACUCACGGCUUAUCAGCUUGUUGGUGGGGUAGUGGCUUACCAAGGCUUUGACGGGUAGCCGGCCUGAGAGGGUGACCGGCCACAUUGGGACUGAGAUACGGCCCAGACUCCUACGGGAGGCAGCAGUGGGGAAUAUUGCACAAUGGGCGGAAGCCUGAUGCAGCAACGCCGCGUGCGGGAUGACGGCCUUCGGGUUGUAAACCGCUUUCGCCUGUGACGAAGCGUGAGUGACGGUAAUGGGUAAAGAAGCACCGGCUAACUACGUG